rnacentral:piRNA from 1 species
UGCCCCAUGGUGGUCAGGCAGUACUGGG